AGGGAUCAUUACAAGUGACCCCGGUCUAACCACCGGGAUGUUCAUAACCCUUUGUUGUCCGACUCUGUUGCCUCCGGGGCGACCCUGCCUUCGGGCGGGGGCUCCGGGUGGACACUUCAAACUCUUGCGUAACUUUGCAGUCUGAGUAAACUUAAUUAAUAAAUUAAAACUUUUAACAACGGAUCUCUUGGUUCUGGCAUCGAUGAAGAACGCAGCGAAAUGCGAUAAGUAAUGUGAAUUGCAGAAUUCAGUGAAUCAUCGAAUCUUUGAACGCACAUUGCGCCCCCUGGUAUUCCGGGGGGCAUGCCUGUUCGAGCGUCAUUUCACCACUCAAGCCUCGCUUGGUAUUGGGCAACGCGGUCCGCCGCGUGCCUCAAAUCGACCGGCUGGGUCUUCUGUCCCCUAAGCGUUGUGGAAACUAUUCGCUAAAGGGUGUUCGGGAGGCUACGCCGUAAAACAACCCCAUUUCUAAGGUUGACCUCGGAUCAGGUAGGGAUACCCGCUGAACUUAAGCAUAUCAAUAAGCGGAGGAAAAGAAACCAACAGGGAUUGCUCUAGUAACGGCGAGUGAAGCAGCAAUAGCUCAAAUUUGAAAUCUGGCGUCUUCGACGUCCGAGUUGUAAUUUGUAGAGGAUGCUUCUGAGUAACCACCGACCUAAGUUCCUUGGAACAGGACGUCAUAGAGGGUGAGAAUCCCGUAUGCGGUCGGAAAGGUGCUCUAUACGUAGCUCCUUCGACGAGUCGAGUUGUUUGGGAAUGCAGCUCUAAAUGGGAGGUAAAUUUCUUCUAAAGCUAAAUAUUGGCCAGAGACCGAUAGCGCACAAGUAGAGUGAUCGAAAGAUGAAAAGCACUUUGGAAAGAGAGUUAAAAAGCACGUGAAAUUGUUAAAAGGGAAGGGAUUGCAACCAGACUUGCUCGCGGUGUUCCGCCGGUCUUCUGACCGGUCUACUCGCCGCGUUGCAGGCCAGCAUCGUCUGGUGCCGCUGGAUAAGACUUGAGGAAUGUAGCUCCCUCGGGAGUGUUAUAGCCUCUUGUGAUGCAGCGAGCGCCGGGCGAGGUCCGCGCUUCGGCUAGGAUGCUGGCGUAAUGGUCGUAAUCCGCC
rnacentral:rRNA from 1 species